rnacentral:lncRNA from 1 species
UGUUUAGCCAAAGAACUCGGAAACACAACCGCCUAAAGACAUGUGCACCGCUGAGUUCACCACAGCCUUACUCCCCCUCUCCAAGACUUGGAAGCCGCCCUGGUGCCCAGCAAGGGAAGAAUGGAGAAGGAACAUGGGCUAUAGCCACACAAUGGCAAACCAAUCAGCGGGAACAAAGGAUGCAAUCCAGCCAUUUGUGACCCCCAGAAAGGCUGGGAGGGUUUUAGGGGAAGUGAAACAGGCCCCAGGGACAUAGUCAAAUACCGUAGGAUCUCACUUUCAAGGAGAAGAAAAAAGAAGCACUAACCAACAGGUGGCGCUGGACAUUUGAUUGGGGGUGCCCAGAGGCAAAGCGGGGUGGUGGGGGAGGGUGAAAGAGAUGAUGAGGCACAAGUGUGUGGUGAGGGCCUGUGAUUCGGCUUACGCUGGUGAAGAGGAUGUCACCUACACGGAAGUCUAAAUCGAUGAGGAUGUAAAUCUGAAAGACAUAGGAUGUUCUAAUGCAGGGUUAUGGCAAUAAAUUCACCUACAAUCAAAAAUCCCAAAAGGGGUCCAGAAUGACGGCAUACAGCUCUGGGGGCUGAAAGAGAUUAGAGAAGGUGAACUUCCAAGGAUGGAAAAUCACCUCAAAAGGCUUACUGAUGCUACAGAAGGGUAGACCAUUCCAAAUACAUGCAGAGGAAUACUACCAAGAGAACCUGAUCCGUGCUAAGCCCAGGAACCAACGGAAAACGUUACCGUCCAUGAUGUUACUACUAAUCACCUUCACGAAUAAUCCAAACAGGCCCACAUCUUCCCAAGUUCAGGCCACAGGUUGGUCCAAAAGUACAAGUCAGGACCGGCCCUGUGGUACAGAGGGCAAGUGCCCACGUUCCGCUUGGGUGGCCCGGGCCUCACUCUUUCACAGCACGGGUGCAGAUCACAUUAGCACUAUUAGGAAAUAGAGAUUUCAUGGGACGGUGCGGACAGAGGUCAUAAAGAAGUAGCAAUUGUGAGGGUCCGUUAUUAAUACGCCCGAGAAAAACAACCAUGAGAAUAUUCCAAUCUCUGAAGGCAUCUGGUACACUUCCCCAAAGGAAGAAGGAAGGAAAACAUGGGACCUGCCAAGGUGGACUUGGCAGAGUGCUAGGAGAUGACACGAUCAUUGC